AAAAGCUCGUAGUUGGAUCUCAGUUCCAGACGGGUGGUCCGCCUACCGGUGGUUACUGCCUGUUCUGAACAGUCAGCCGGUUUCUCUUGAUGAUCUUCACCGGUUGUCUUGGGUGACCGGCAAGUUUACUUUGAAAAAAUUAGAGUGCUCAAAGCAGGCGUGACGCCUGAAUAAUGGUGCAUGGAAUAAUGGAAUAGGACCUCGGUUCUAUUUUGUUGGUUUUCGGAACACGAGGUAAUGAUUAAGAGGGACAGACGGGGGCAUUCGUAUUGCGACGCUAGAGGUGAAAUUCUUGGACCGUCGCAAGACGAACUACUGCGAAAGCAUUUGCCAAGAAUGUUUCCAUUAAUCAAGAACGAAAGUUAGAGGUUCGAAGGCGAUCAGAUACCGCCCUAGUUCUAACCAUAAACGAUGCCAGCCAGCGAUCCGGCUGUGUUCCUCAAAUGACACGCCGGGCAGCUUCCGGGAAACCAAAGCUUUUGGGUUCCGGGGGAAGUAUGGUUGCAAAGCUGAAACUUAAAGGAAUUGACGGAAGGGCACCACCAGGAAUGGAGCUUGCGGUUUAAUUUGACUCAACACGGGACAACCUACCCGGCCCGGACACAGGAAGGAUUGACAGAUUAAGAGCUCUUUCUUGAUUCUGUGGGUGGUGGUGCAUGGCCGUUCUUAGUUGGUGGACUGAUUUGUCUGGUUAAUUCCGUUAACGAACGAGACUCUAGCCUACUAAAUAGACGUUCCGAUUAUUUAUUUUUCGGACGUUCUUCUUAGAGGGACAAUCGGCGCUUAGCCCGAUGAGACAGAGCAAUAACAGGUCUGUUAUGCCCUUUGAUGUCCGGGGCCACACGCGUGCUACAUUGAAGGAAUCAGCGUGUGCUUUCCCUGUCCGACAGGACUGGGUAACCCGUUGAACCUCCUUCGUGCUGGGGAUAGGGGCUUGUAAUUAUUCCCCUUGAACGAGGAAUUCCUAGUAAGCGCGAAUCAUCAGUUCGUGUUGACUAAGUCCCUGCCCUUUGUCCACACCGCCCGUCGCUACUACCGAUUGAAUGAUUUAGUGAGGUCUUCGGACUGGCGCUCGGARCGGCCUUCGGGUCGCGCCGGCGUGCCGGAAAGAUGACCAAACUUGAUCAUUAGAGGAAGUAAAGUCGUAACAAGGUUCCC
rnacentral:rRNA from 1 species